GACGAACGCUGGCGGCGUGCCUAAUACAUGCAAGUAGAACGCUGAAGGAGGAGCUUGCUUCUCUGGAUGAGUUGCGAACGGGUGAGUAACGCGUAGGUAACCUGCCUGGUAGCGGGGGAUAACUAUUGGAAACGAUAGCUAAUACCGCAUAAGAUUGACUAUUGCAUGAUAGUCAGUUAAAAGGUGCAAUUGCAUCACUACCAGAUGGACCUGCGUUGUAUUAGCUAGUUGGUGGGGUAACGGCUCACCAAGGCGACGAUACAUAGCCGACCUGAGAGGGUGAUCGGCCACACUGGGACUGAGACACGGCCCAGACUCCUACGGGAGGCAGCAGUAGGGAAUCUUCGGCAAUGGACGGAAGUCUGACAGAGCAACGCCGCGUGAGUGAAGAAGGUUGUCGGAUCGUAAAGCUCGGUUGUAAGAGAAGAACGAGGGUGAGAGUGGAAAGUUCACACUGUGACGGUAUCUUACCAGAAAGGGACGGCUAACUACGUG
rnacentral:rRNA from 1 species